UACAAAUAAGAUAAGAUUGAUUUCCCUAACCCUAAUCUUCUAUACAAGGUAAAUAUCAAUUCUAAUUAUUUGUGAUCACAGGAAAUCAGCUGCGGGAAAUCUUCCCUUCCAUCGUGAGAUCUUUCCUUCCAACAACUUCAAUCCUACCCAAUCAAACUACACGUCUACACUGCACUACACUAUACUUCACUCUCUUCCUUUCCUGUCUCACUUGAACAAGAACAAUCAACAAUGGGUGCUGCAUUUUGUGAAUCGGCAAUCCUCGUAGUCUCUAUUCUGUUUGGUGCUGUUGUUCUGAGCUCCGGUUCCGGUACCGCGAUGCGGAGAUCAGGUGGUGGAAGGUGGGCGGCAGCUCACGCUCUCGCUAGACCAAUACUAUGGUUCCGGUUUCCAAUCGAAGAAUGAAUACUUAUUUGGAAGAUUCGAUAUGCAGAUGAAGCUCGUCCCCGGAGUUGAAACUCCGCUGGAACCGUCACUACUUUCUUCAUUUAUGGUGGACAACACUCCGAUCAGAGUGUUCAACAAAACGCAGGCGAUGAGAGUUUACUGCAGCUUGUGGAACGCCAACGACUGGGCGGCCGUGUGAAGGCGGAUUGGAGCAAGGCGCCGUUCCUCGCCGCCUACCGCGACUUCAACAUUAUUAACUCCGCCCGCCGUUGGUGAUUCCGCCAACAAUGCGGCCACGUGGCAGACGCAGGAAUGGCAGAAAGAGGCUGCUAAGAUGGGUGCAGCAAAACUAUAUGAUCUACAACUACUGCUCUCAUUCUAACCACUUUGCUCAACGAUUUCCGCCCGAGUUCAACCGCUCCACAUUUUUACCCUUUAAAUUUCCCUUAAUAUUCAUUCUUUCAUUCAUGCUCUUUUUUUUGUUGUUUAGUGGAUAUAUUGUUAUAGAAUUAGUAUUAAUGGGACUAAAUUUCUACUAGUGUUUACCUCUACUUUGUCCUACUA